AGAGUUUGAUCAUGGCUCAGGACGAACGCUGGCGGCGUGCUUAAUACAUGCAAGUCGAGCGAGAAGCCACUUCUCCGUAAGGAGAAGUGGUGGAAAGCGGCGAACGGGUGAGUAACACGUGGAUAACGUGCCCCAGACACUGGGAUAACAGCGGGAAACCGCUGCUAAUACCGGAUAAAACGUAUCUGUCGCAUGACGAGAUACGUCAAAGCUCCGGCGGUCUGGGAUCGGUCCGCGGCCUAUCAGCUUGUUGGUGGGGUAACGGCCUACCAAGGCAGUGACGGGUAGCUGGCGUGAGAGCGCGACCAGCCACACUGGGACUGAGACACGGCCCAGACUCCUACGGGAGGCAGCAGUAGGGAAUCUUGCGCAAUGGGCGAAAGCCUGACGCAGCGACGCCGCGUGAGCGAUGAAGGCCUUCGGGUUGUAAAGCUCUUUCAGCAGGGACGAAAUUGACGGUACCUGCAGAAGAAGGUCCGGCCAACUACGUGCCAGCAGCCGCGGUAAUACGUAGGGACCGAGCGUUGUCCGGAUUUAUUGGGCGUAAAGAGCCCGUAGGCGGCUAUCCACGUCGGAUGUGAAAGCUCAGGGCUCAACCCUGAGAGGCCAUUCGAUACGGGAUAGCUAGAGGUAGCUAGGGGAAAGCGGAAUUCCUGGUGUAGCGGUGAAAUGCGCAGAUAUCAGGAGGAACACCGGUGGCGAAGGCGGCUUUCUGGGGCUUACCUGACGCUGAGGCGCGAAAGCUGGGGGAGCGAACAGGAUUAGAUACCCUAGUAGUCC
rnacentral:rRNA from 1 species